ACCGGCGGGGGAUGGNCUGAAGUACGGGCGAAGUGAAGCGGCAAAAGCUCAAAUUUUGAAAUCCUGGCACCUUCGGUGUCCGAGUUGUAAUUUGAAGAAGGUAACUUUGGAGUUGGCUCUUGUCUAUGUUCCUUGGAACAGGACGUCACAGAGGGUGAGAAUCCCGUGCGAUGAGAUGCCCAAUUCUAUGUAAAGUGCUUUCGAAGAGUCGAGUUGUUUGGGAAUGCAGCUCUUAGUGGGUGGUAAAUUCCAUCUAAAGCUAAAUAUUGGCGAGAGAACGAUAGCGAAAAAGUUCUGUGAUGGAAAGAUGAAAAGAACUUUGAAAUUACAGCGAACAAGUUCCUGAAAUUGUUGAAAAGGGAAGGGGUUGGAUACCACUUUGGGUUUUUUGGGACCUUUCCCCUCGGGGGGGGGUCCCCCCCAGUUAAGUGGCGGGGCAAGGAUUUGGAAGGGGAGACUACCGCCUAAGGUAGGGGGUUCUAAUUGCGAGGGUGGUACAGAGGGUGGUUGAAACAAACAUUGGCGCUUGGGCGACCUCCUUGGGGUGUUAUAAGGUUACCCAGUUUUGGUUUUUCCCCCCCCUGUAUGGGAUAUACAAAA
rnacentral:rRNA from 1 species